rnacentral:rRNA from 1 species
GAUCUUCAUGGUGCAAAAUCGUUGAAGGGUGGGGAUAACUAGCUGCGAGCAGCCAAAAUAGAAACAAGAGACUAUGACCCGAUGAGGAGGUUGCUAACCAUAUCUUGCAAUCCAAACAUUCGUUGAUCCAUGAUCCACAAAACUAUCCCACACAGCCACACUCGAGACAUGGAGCACAAGGUAGGUGCAAUCUGCAAGGGAAUCACGAACACUAACCCACACAACCACGCUCAAGUCGUGGAGCACCGGUUAGGAGCAACUCCACAAGGAAUCACAAGAAUAAGGGUAGAAAGAACUCUGUACAAUCCCAGGAUAAGUCUAUAUCUUUGUUCUGAAAUCCGAGGAUGCCAAAAAGUCCUCUAG